rnacentral:rRNA from 1 species
AUGGAGAUCCUCUCGCGCGUCCCCGUCAAUGCAUUGUGCCGCUGCAAAUGUGUCUCCAAGCACUGGCUCGGCCUAAUCUACCACCCAGAGCACCGCAAUAGGCUCCCCCAAACCAUAGCCGGCUUCUUCUAUGACAGCAGCACCACUAGUGAGCGGCUUCCCAAAUUGUCCUUCCACUUCACUACCCUCGCGGGGAGCUGCUACCCACCGUUCAACAUCUCCUUCGCCUUUCUGCCCAAGCCCAACCACCGCCUCAGUGUCGAUUUGCUGGACUCCUGCAAUGGCCUCCUCCUCUACCACUGGUACGACCCUUCCGCCGAGGUUGGCGCAUUCCAUUAUGUCGUGUGCAAUCCCGCCACGGAGAAGUGGGUCCUGUUGCUCAACUCAAGCAUGGCCCUGAGGAUGUGGCCACCGCAUAUUUGGGCUUCGACCCAGCCAUAG